UGGGGGAUCGUCCAGCGGAAGGACUGCAGACUCUGGAUCUGCCUACCUAGGUUCGAAUCCUAGUCCCCCAGCCA
rnacentral:tRNA from 1 species